AGGCUGGAAGUCCAAGAUCAAGGUGCUGGAGACUUGCUUUCUCUUGAGGCCUCCCUCCUUGGCUUGUAGGCAACCACCUUC
rnacentral:miRNA from 1 species